CACAGAGACACAAUCCCACAGGUAGCUAGUCAUGUGACCUGCUGACAGGCUAUAAAUAGCUCCUGUUGUAAUCAGGUAAACACUGGCGGGCAGUCAGAUCAGCUGUGCGCUUGGCGAGUGUGUCCAUACAAGGAAUUAUGGGACAGCUGGAGUGUGGACCACCACUAAAACAUUGUGCUGCCUCGCCACAGCGCUGGAGCCAGUUGUCUUUACAAAAACUCAGUUUGUAGAAAACAUCCGCCCAGUGUUUGCAGCAGCCUCUGAUGACACCAUGACAAUGGAAUCUCUCUAAAGAGGCCUGAUGCCGUCACGGACUACAAUCUAGGACCUAGGAUUAUCUGCACUAUAUUUUCCUUGAGCAGUCUGAGACUUUAACCACUGGUCCGAAGCCCUUGUCUUGUAAAAUUCUGUUCGGUCUAGCAAAAGCUCAGUACACAUAAUAGCACUAAGAUGGACUGAAAAUUCUACUUAGAUUCGAGUCCAAGCUACUAGCCUUAAAAGGUCUUGGCACAGACUAUUAGAGGAUCCUCUGAAUGAUACAUUUAAACACAGGCCUAGGUGGCUGGAUCCCUUCACCAUGCUGUCUUGUCAAACACUGAACAGAAGCAGAAACAUUGUUAAUGUUUACAUUUUGAGUUAUGGGCAGUACAGUAUUCUUACUAACAGUUUGUCAAAGGUACAACCAACUUAAGUUCUAAAUCUUUGAAUGACAUUUAGAAGUGAUACACUUAAGGAAGAGAAUAUAUGGAUGUCAACUUCUUUAUUAUGAGGAACACGUUUUGGAGUGCUUACUCCUUCAUCAGAUGAAGCAGUGUUAGAAAUUGUCACUAGUCCUGUAGUCCUUGAUAAAAUGCACAAUAGUUAGGUAUCAUGAGGACUAUUAGAAAUUUGCCCUUUUUAAGAGUUUUACUAUGUUAUCAAUAUAAGGACUAGUGGACUAAAACUGUCAGUUACUAUCACUGUGAAGGAGUAAAUACAUACUCCGAAACGUUGCUCCUCAUUAUAAAGAAGUUGACAUCCAUAAAUUCUCUUCCAGUACUGUUGAAAACACAGGUUAUGAUAUAAAACAAGUGACCAUCAGCAUUUCCAUUCUCCUGUAUAUGCCUGAUAUUGCCAGAUAGACUAUGGCUUGGGUCGGUAAUUGCAGGGGCUGUCUGUCUCUAUGCCCGGAAGAAGCAGUGUUUUAUUGUCGUGUAGCCUCAACCAUUCUUGGACACCUACAAUAUAUACUCUGUCAGUUAGCUGUAUUGUCGUAAAUGGAAACGAAAAAAAUAAAAAUGGAUGUGCCAAGAA